rnacentral:rRNA from 1 species
AAAUUGAAGAGUUUGAUCAUGGCUCAGAUUGAACGCUGGCGGCAGGCCUAACACAUGCAAGUCGAGCGGUAGCACAGAGAGCUUGCUCUCGGGUGACGAGCGGCGGACGGGUGAGUAAUGUCUGGGAAACUGCCUGAUGGAGGGGGAUAACUACUGGAAACGGUAGCUAAUACCGCAUAACGUCGCAAGACCAAAGAGGGGGACCUUCGGGCCUCUUGCCAUCAGAUGUGCCCAGAUGGGAUUAGCUAGUAGGUGGGGUAACGGCUCACCUAGGCGACGAUCCCUAGCUGGUCUGAGAGGAUGACCAGCCACACUGGAACUGAGACACGGUCCAGACUCCUACGGGAGGCAGCAGUGGGGAAUAUUGCACAAUGGGCGCAAGCCUGAUGCAGCCAUGCCGCGUGUAUGAAGAAGGCCUUCGGGUUGUAAAG